rnacentral:rRNA from 1 species
UACGUAGGGUGCAAGCGUUAAUCGGAAUUACUGGGCGUAAAGCGUGCGCAGGCGGUUAUGUAAGACAGGUGUGAAAUCCCCGGGCUUAACCUGGGAACUGCAUUUGUGACUGCAUAGCUAGAGUACGGUAGAGGGGGAUGGAAUUCCGCGUGUAGCAGUGAAAUGCGUAGAUACGCGGAGGAACACCGAUGGCGAAGGCAAUCCCCUGGACCUGUACUGACGCUCAUGCACGAAAGCGUGGGGAGCAAACAGG